UACGUAGGGGGCUAGCGUUGUCCGGAAUCAUUGGGCGUAAAGCGCGUGUAGGCGGCCAGAUAAGUCCGCUGUGAAAUCUCGAGGCUCAACUUCGAGCUGUCGGUGGAAACUGUCUGGCUAGAGUCCGGAAGAGGAGAAUGGAAUUCCUGGUGUAGCGGUGAAAUGCGCAGAUAUCAGGAAGAACACCCGUGGCGAAGGCGGUUCUCUGGGACGGUACUGACGCUGAGGAGCGAAAGCGUGGGGAGCGAACAGG
rnacentral:rRNA from 1 species